rnacentral:lncRNA from 1 species
UCACAACCAAAGACAGAUUCAUGCAGCCGACGAGAGCCUCACUACUGUGACUGCACUGCUUUCUGCGAUUCAACAAGUCAUUUUUACGCCUUAAUCGUCAGUAUUCAAAGUGCCAACAUUAACCUGGACUUAAUAAAAAGCCUGGUAAACACACUGAGAAACCAUCAUGCUUAAAACCUGAAUACAUUUGAUGGUCUCACUCUCACUUUCACUUUGUUUCUCAGUUACU